GCCCGGGUGGCUCAGUUCGUUGAGCGUCUGACUUUGUUUGACUCAGGUCAUGAUUUUGUCGUGCGUGGGUUCGAGCCCCGCGUCGGGCU
rnacentral:tRNA from 1 species